CCAUUAAACCCAGUGGCUCUUCCUCUCCUCCUUGGGCAUUAGAGUUUGAUUCCUGGCUUAAAGAUGCUCUUCUUCAAGGAAGGUAAUUCUUUGAUCCAAGAUUGUUUCAAUUCUCCAUCUGUAUGUCCUUUGCUAAUAUAAUAUCCCAUUGAUAUUCCUUCAAUUUUAUAAGGAUGGCAAUCUUAACUAGAGUUAUUGUUUCAUGGAUUAGCCUAGACUGUGCACAGUGUUUUUAGUAGGAUGUUUUCUACAGGAAAAAUAAGAGGGCUAGCUAGUGUUAUCUAGAACAGGAACCGAAACCACAUUUUAUUAUGGUUUUGGUUCUGUUUUUUUGGUUGUUUUGAUUUCGGUUUGGUAUGGUUAUGAGUUUAUAAAUUUAGGUUCCGUUUAAUACCAUUCGAUUUUGG
rnacentral:misc_RNA from 1 species